CCCUGCCCUUUGUACACACCGCCCGUCGCUACUACCGAUUGAAUGGCUUAGUGAGGCUUCCGGAUUGGUUUAGAGAAGGGGGCAACUCCAUCUUGGAACCGAGAAGCUAGUCAAACUUGGUCAUUUAGAGGAAG
rnacentral:rRNA from 1 species